CAGUCGCCGCGGGAAUACAGAGGGUGCAAGCGUUAAUCGGAAUUACUGGGCGUAAAGCGCGCGUAGGUGGUUUGUUAAGUUGGAUGUGAAAUCCCCGGGCUCAACCUGGGAACUGCAUCCAAAACUGGCAAGCUAGAGUAUGGUAGAGGGUGGUGGAAUUUCCUGUGUAGCGGUGAAAUGCGUAGAUAUAGGAAGGAACACCAGUGGCGAAGGCGACCACCUGGACUGAUACUGACACUGAGGUGCGAAAGCGUGGGGAGCAAACAGGAUUAGAUACCCCGUAGUCCCUGUCUCUUAUACA
rnacentral:rRNA from 1 species